CAAUAGCGUAUAUUAAAGUUGUUGCAGUUAAAAAGCUCGUAGUUGGAUUUGUGGCGUACGGUGUGUUCCGGGCACUUGUUGUCUGAGUAACCUGCUGUUGCCAUCCUUGGGUGGAACCUGUGUGGCAUUAGGUUGUCGUGCAGGGGAUGCCCAUCAUUUACUGUGAAAAAAUUAGAGUGUUCAAAGCAGGCUUAUGCCGUUGAAUAUAUUAGCAUGGAAUAAUGAGAUAGGACUUUUUUGCUAUUUUGUUGGUUUGCGCAAGAAGGUAAUGAUUAAUAGGGACAGUUGGGGGUAUUCGUAUUCCAUUGUCAGAGGUGAAAUUCUUGGACUUUUGGAAGACGAACUACUGCGAAAGCAUUUACCAAGGAUGUUUUCAUUAA
rnacentral:rRNA from 1 species